UUACGACUAUAUCACACUGAAACACCGGUUCCCGUACCAUCACAGAAGUUAAGCAAGAUCAAACCUGGUUUGUACUAGAUGGGUGACCGAUUGGGAAUACCAGGUGCUGUAA